rnacentral:lncRNA from 1 species
CCAAGGUGUGCCUACACCUGCCUGUGAGACAGGUCUAGACUACAGAGGCCAGGACACAGUCCUGGUUUCCCAUUGCUCAGUUAUGUUGAACUCUCCACUGAUGUAGUCAUGGAAUACAUUGCUGUUAUUUCUUUACUCAAUUUGAGAGAUUUUUCAGUGUUUGUUGUUAUUUUGUAUUUGAAACCAGGAGCUAUAGAACCAAGGAAACCUGCCUGAAGCAUUACUGGGAAAGCACCUAGGAAUUUGAGGUCCUGAUGAUUCUACUGUAUCCUGUGGGGCCCUGUUGUACUCUGUGAUGUCACAGUGUAGUAGUGACAACUGCUCUUGGUGUGUUUGUUCAGUGCCAUGGACACGUUGGCAACACUGAGCAGGUUACUUGGGAGAGAGGACAGAGAGCACAGAGACACCAGAGAGGAGCAGACGGGUGCUGGCCUUCAGACGCAUGAUAAACAGCAAGAGAUACGUGAUGGUGGCAGGGUGCAGUGAGCUCUGGGCAAAACCUGGGAGCUUCCUGGAGGAGGUGGGCUGGAGCUGGGCUUUCCAGAAAUGGGAAUCAGGAGCUGGGUCCUCUGAGAAGCAACUGGACUUCUGUCCUUGCCAUAGUUGCAGAAAGUCAACUUAUCCAGAACAUGAGUUCAUUUAUCUCAGAAAUCAAGAGCUGGGAAGGGCACAGAUGUUUGCUGAGAGCUCCUGGCUUUUAUCCUUAUUGUUGGGCGAAGAAGCCAUGAAGAAGGGACAGGUUAGUGAAGUGGCCUCAACUCAGGGCAGGAAAUCACUGUACUUCCUGCCCAGUGGAUUCCUUUAGGAGCAGUGGCUAUCUGACACUAAUAAGAGGACAAGACAACUGCUCUGUCCAAGUCUUAUGACCUUAGGUUUCUGAGUCACCAGAUUUGGGUGGCAGACAGUUCUUGAGUGCAGAAAGCACUGGGUGAGCCAGUGGCCAGCACAAAGACUUGCUCUUAGCUGUCACCUCUGGAUCUCUGGGCUGUGAAUGACUCAUGAGUGUAGUGACCAUGGUAUACCUCUACAUGGCUGCUCUGUCUACAACCAUGUGCAGUGUGGCCUAGACAGGAAUCAGGGCAUCUAUAUCAUGUGAACACAUGUAGACUUUGCCAUGUGUUUCUCUGAAAGCACAUUCUUCAAUGUUCUGAAGCCAAGUUAGAGCCGAUGCAGCUGUGAAUAUGUCUGAGGAGGCUGCGGCCUUGGUCUCUUGAAGCAUGUGCUAUGGGAGCCAGAGGAAACCAUGUCCACCUCUCUACAGACCUAUAUGAAAAUUGACCUCCACAGCCUGAGUUUUCAGAAGCAUCCAGGGGUUCCUCAGAAGUCAUCUGUACCUCCCCCCCUCACUGAAGGGCAGCGGCACAUGAAGAAGGUAGAGAAAUGAUCCCUCAGCUACAGAAGACGACCUGUGAGAGGAAUGAGCUGUGUGGUUUCCUGGCCCAUUAUACAAAGAUUUGAACAACAGGUAGUCAUUAUGCCCAGCACACUCUUGGCUAUGUUGUCUCCACGAUGUCAAGCCCUGCUUUCUUCAGGGACAGGAGGCUGAACCUCCAGGGUGUCCUUAUACGCAAGCUAAUUUUCCUGUGUCUAAGAAGUGGAACUUGAAGCCAGGUUAGGAAUAAAAUGGGAACACAGGCUGUUUUACUUCUUCCAAAUUAAAAGCAGAGCCUGUAUCCCGAAUAACAGUCUGGGGAUAGGGACCGAAGUUGUGUGUGCUCUCAAGAUGCACCUUAAGAUGCCUUGAUGGGCAAUGGCUUGUGGGAGAUUCUAGGUCCCAUGAGUUUAUGAUGAACCUUCAUAUUUAACCAGCUAAUGCUUGGGUCCUGGUUGUUUUGGCAACAACUGGAGAUACCUGGCCCCAUUUGGCUCAUGUCACUGUGUAAUUGAAAGGCCUGGAGUUGCCGGGCAUCCCUCCCAGCACUCAGGAGGCAGAGGCAGGUGGAUUUCUGAAUUCAAGGCCAGCCUGGUCUACAGAGUGAGUUCCAGGACAGCCAGGGCUACACAGAGAGACCCUGUCUCAGAAAAAAAAAAGAAGAAGAAGGAAAGGCCUGGACCUCAUCAGUGUGCCUCUCUGAUCCUGUUCCUUAUACUGUGAGACAAUGCCACCUCGCAUUUCAUUGUAAUUCUAAUUGUGUGUGUGUGUGUGUGGUUGUGUGUGUAUAUGUGUGUAGUCUGGGAUCCCACUGUGAGCUGCUGUGCCUUUGAGCUUUGUGAUCUCCUUGGUGGAACAAUAGAAUCAGCUGGAGAGUAUAUAAGGCAUUCUUACUUUUGGUCUGCUUCCUGGAUCAUGCACUUUGGCAUCCAUGUAAAUUAGAAACCUAGGAUGGAGAAUCUGUGUUGUAAAGUCAGGAGACAGACACAUCAUCACAGUUUUAGGUAGUGGUGGUGGUGGUGGUAGGGUGCUGACAAUAGACCUGUCACAUAGAAUCCUGGGGCUCUCUUAGAGAGCUAGUCUAUUUCUCUAAGCUCAUGAAACCUAGCUUGCACCAAUUUUAACCACUGUCUCUGCUGCCCUUGGACCAGAAUAGCAAGGUUAAUAAACAAGCACCAGGAUGUCCCCUGGUGUGUAUAUGUGCCAGAACGUAACUGUUGUAGUCCAGGACACAGCUUGAAAUCAUAUGAUUCUUGUGGCCUCUCUGUUCAUGGGGUUCUUUGCUCCUGGGGCCAGGCCCUAGUGUAUGGUUAGAUAUGGUCCCUCAUCUGCUUUGCCAUAGGGCUUGGGCUGCUUGGAGAGGUGGAACAAGGGAGUUUUGACUGCUCUUACCCCAUGCCAGCACCGGGCAGGUGUCGGGCUAUGGGAAGCUGCUGGACACCACUCUGAGGCUGGGGAAGAGCAGUCUGAGGAUCCGGGGUCCACUGGAGCUGGCUCGAGGGUCCCCAGUCCUGCAGGGAGGCCAGGGCCACAUGGUUCUCAGGCUCUUGGGCACCCAGGUGGCACUGAGAUCCGAAGAGCUGAGAACAAAGUGGGGACACGUGGGCUGGAUCUAGCCCAGGGCCCAAGGGGAAAGGGGGGAACUCUAGCUGGGUCCCACAAGGAGGAGUCCUUGGCUUGUCAGUGAGCAGCUGGCUUGGCUUGGUGGUCAUGGCUGGGAGCACAGAGAGGCCUUGUACGAGAGAUUAGACAAGGCUCUAAAGGCAAAGGCCUUCUCUAUGGCUCCGCACGGUGGAUCCCAGUUUUAAGGCAUUUAUUGUCAUGGCAGAAAGUGGAUGAGUAAAACCGUACCCUACUUCUCAGCUGUGGGCCUGAGGUUAAACACCUUCUGCAGGGAGGAGUGUCAGGGAAGGAAAGCUUAUUGGCUAAGCCCUUCCAACCUUUAGGUACCUCAUUAAAAUGGAGAUCUGUCUUGAGGCCACAGGUCACAUCCUCUACCUGUGAAGGGCUUGGGGCAUUGCCCUUACAUGACUGAUGGCCACAAAUCUAUGGAGGGUUGUGGCCUCCUGCCAGGAGCCUAAUGUCUGGGAACCAGGUGAAACACCUGCCAUCCCUCAGGGUCACCAGGGUCUCCAACCUUAGCUCAACCAGGAACCAGGCUGCCUUUCAAGGCCCUACACCCUACCACAGGGUGAACUUUGAGCCUGAGAUGCAGAGGAUGGGGCAUGAACAGGUGAGGUCAAACAUGAAGAAACUGCCCAAGGGGAUAAGAGAGGCCUUGGGCAAGUGCAAGGGGCUGACUGGGGAAACUGUCUCCUGCUGGUGAGUGACUGACUUGCCUGGGACCCCAGCACCUGGCAGGGGCUGCUUCUGCCCUUCUUGUCUUUGAACCAAAGCGAGGGCUCUGGUUCUCCCUUGUCUUCCUCUCAGCAAGCAGCCUGCCUUGUGGCUUCACCUUGUGCCUCUUGGACUCAGGUUUCCUAAGUGUGAAGCGUCUGUCAGCCUCCUCCAAACAUUGUCCUGCAAAUGUCGGAGCAUCUAGAGAGAAAGGUUUGUGCCAUGAGGGGCAUGUCAAUCAGCCCUGGGUGUCUGGGGCUCUGGUUGGAGAUUUCCACAGCUGGUUUCCAUGAGACACGUAGAUGGAUUGUAUUCUUGUUGGGUCUCCUGUCCUCUCUCAGAAGGUGUAUGACCUUUCCCUGCUGAUGUUUGCCAGUACCAUGGAUAGAUAAGCAUAAGUCAGGGCUACUUCCUGUUCUGGGACGUACAUGGAUCCCUUUGGGUGUCAGGGUUUUCAGAAGUACUUUGAGUCUUUCUGGAAUGUGGCUGUUCUCUGGAUUUGGCCUGCCUCUAGGUGAUGCUGGCAUAGUUACUGUGGACUCCAGUCUGAGGCUGUCUGAGGACAAGGGACCUGGCAGGGAUGGUGGUAGUUGGAGAUGGGAAGGAAUUUAAAGGCUGGCUGGGCUUCAUUAUUUCUCAUUGUGGUUCAGCAUCCUCCACCCCCAGCUCCUGAGUGAGUGGACUCAGCUGAAGAUGAAGUGAAGACGUUGAGGCAGGAAAACAGAGGUGCAGAGGAAGCAGAGCAUGGUGCAAGAGUCCUGUGAGGAGGCAGAGAGGCUCUGUGAGGAGGCCACGAGAAGAUCUGUGAGAUGAGGAGGACAGAGCAGCAGCUCUCUUUCUCUGCACCUGGCCCAGCUCUUGGUUCACACUGGAGACACCUGAAGAGCAUCUUCUUGGGCCUGUUUCCCUGAAUGGUGCUGGAGAGUUAGUGCAUGUGUUUAAGUUCCUAACCUUUUAUUCCUUCAACAGGGAAGACUAUGUACAGCCCUCCAUGAAGAAUUGUUACUUUUACAUCAAUCAUUCAGGAGUAGUAAAGGAUUCUACGGCUAAAGUUUGAGAAGGACUAGCCAAAAGGAAAAGAGAAAAAGGAUAGCAUCAAGGAUGGUUUGAAUCCUGAUUCUCCACUUUCCCAUGGCUUACAACUUUAAUUUCUACACUGCUUGGACCAUUAAUUAUAAUUUUGUUGCUUUUAACUUUUGGACCUUGUGUCUUAAACAAAUUGGUUGCCUUCACACAGGAUCACUUUCAGGAAGCUCAGAUAUUCACCAUGGCAGUCAUUCAUCGCUAUGAAGAAAUGCAUUGGGUGCAUAGUCAUAUGUCCUUCGUGGCUUCGGUCUGAAUGGGAAAGAGUGUGCUAUUGAAGGCCAGUAGUCAGAGUUGGGUAAGAGUGUUCUUUAGCUCCUAUCAACCUAAGACAGACAUAUGUCAAAAAGCUAUGUUUGUCAUCCAUGACAGGGAAGAAGGAGCAAUAUAGACACCUAAGACAGGCAUGGUCGCCUAGCCAGUCUAUUCCCUAGACAGGAUUAUGGAAAACAAAUGAAUCUUGUGCCCCUGUCCAGCUAUUGAUAACUGUUCAUCUUUAAUAAACAAAAAGGGAGGGGUGAUUGUGCCUUUCCCUGAGCCUUGAGUAGGCUGAACAAAACCAGGAUGGUUUUACAACCUUGCUGGAGUCAUUUGGCCUCACAGCAUUUGUAAUUUCCUACAGGAUCUUUGAGGAGUUGACCUGCUGAGCUUGCUUUGCAACUCAAUCCAGCUGAAACAAAGGAUGGGUCUGUGGGCUUUCCCUAUAUAUCCCAGUGCUAAAUAUUAAACUUUGAGCCUUGAUCAGAAACUUUGUCUUGGCUUCAUUCUUCUCUUGCACCCGUCCUUUUUCAUUUCUAGCCCCCCUUUUUAGGUAGCCCCCCUUUUUAGGGGAGGGGGAUGAUUGAUGCUACCCAAUGAAUGCUCAGUGUACAUUGAGAGUUUUAAGGAAGUGUUUCUUCCAAUGAGUGCUUUAUUCCUG